UUUGUCAUAAAAUUGGUGCUGUGAGGCCGCUUGUCUUUGAUCAUCCAACUGUGAUCCGGACUACAUUUCUGGUUUCAAAAGCCUUCAGUGCAGACUCUCCAGCUCAGAAUGACACAAAUGAGGUCCCCACAUUGCCACCUGAAGAGUAAAUUAUACAUAAAAGGCUUGAAAUCCUUAUUGUUUAUUUGACCAAUGCUCAAACUUCAGUGGGUCACGACGCAUCCAAAUUUAUUG